UAUUUUAUUAGUGUGUGUCAUGGAUGGUUGAUUUUAGGAUAAGAUGAAAAUAAAGAAGAAGGGCCCUCCUAGUCCUAAAGUUGAAGAAGAAGAAUGAUGAGGUGAAGGGUAAAAGUGUAAAACCGAAAAGAGAAGAGAAAGAGGGACCCAGGCAGUUUUGGUUAUGAGUAAGAUACGGAAGAAUUGGCUGCGCAGAGGAGGGGAGGUCUCUGUCAAAUCAUAUCUGUAUCAGUAUCUCUCUCUUGUCUCUCAACCCAUCCCACCUCACACC
rnacentral:lncRNA from 1 species